GCCUACGGGGGGCAGCAGUAGGGAAUCUUCCACAAUGGGCGAAAGCCUGAUGGAGCAACGCCGCGUGGGUGAAGAAGGUCUUAGGAUCGUAAAACCCUGUUGUUAGAGAAGAAAGUGCGUGAGAGUAACUGUUCACAUUUCGACGGUAUCUAACCAGAAAGCCACGGCUAACUACGUGCCAGCAGCCGCGGUAAUACGUAGGUGGCAAGCGUUAUCCGGAUUUAUUGGGCGUAAAGGGAGCGCAGGCGGUCUUUUAAGUCUGAUGUGAAAGCCUUCGGCUUAACCGGAGUAGUGCAUUGGAAACU
rnacentral:rRNA from 1 species